rnacentral:tRNA from 1 species
AGGAUAAUAGUUAAAAUUAAAACAUUUAAUUUGCAUUUAAAAGAAAUUGAUUGUAUCAAUUUAUCUUA